rnacentral:rRNA from 1 species
UUAAAUUGAAGAGUUUGAUCAUGGCUCAGAUUGAACGCUGGCGGCAGGCCUAACACAUGCAAGUCGAACGGUAACAGGAAGAAGCUUGCUUCUUUGCUGACGAGUGGCGGACGGGUGAGUAAUGUCUGGGAAACUGCCUGAUGGAGGGGGAUAACUACUGGAAACGGUAGCUAAUACCGCAUAACGUCGCAAGACCAAAGAGGGGGACCUUCGGGCCUCUUGCCAUCGGAUGUGCCCAGAUGGGAUUAGCUAGUAGGUGGGGUAACGGCUCACCUAGGCGA